UCCCCAAAAACUAGCCCCCUCCCAAAUCUCAACAAACUUUAUUAAUACCCCCAAAAGCACCAAGAACCCCAAACCAAACCAUUUUACCCCCUCAGUAUGUGAGACAGAAAAGGACAAAGGAGCUAUAGAACAAGUACCGCAAGGGAAAGUUGAAAGAGAAGUGAAAAAACCCAGUAAAGGACAUUAAAGCAGAGAUAACCCCUCGUACCUUUUGCAUCAUGGUUUAGCUAUUAGUCCCAGGCAAAAAGUGAUUUAGUCUGGAACCCCGAAACUACGCGAGCUACUCCGGGACAGCCUAUAGUAGGGCAAACCCGUCUCUGUUGCAAAAGAGUGGGAAGAUCUCUGAGUAGAGGUGACAGACCUAUCGAGCUUAGUUAUAGCUGGUUGCCCGAUAAAUGAAUAGGAGUUCAGCCUUUUAGCCUCUCACAACAGUCCAGAUUUCAUCUAUGUCAGUUUAAGAGAGCCCUAAAGGAGUUAUUCAAGGGGGGGACAGCCCCCUUGAAAAAAGAUACAACUUUGAUAGAAGGUGAAAGAUUACAAGCCCCUAAGGCUAACAUACCAAGGUGGGCCUGAAAGCAGCCACCCUAAAAGAAGGCGUUAAAGCCUAAGUAAUACAUACCCCCCCCCCCGAUUACAAUAAACAUAUCUUGCGCCCCUUAGUAUACCGGGCCCCCCAAUGCCCCCAUUGGGGAGUUCAUGCUAGUAUGAGUAAUAAGAGAGCCACGACUCUCUCGAGUGCACCCCCUUAAAUCGGAACGAACCCCCACCGACAAUUAACGCCCCCAAUAGCAGAGGGAAUUGAGAAAUUAUGCAUACAACACGUAAUAUCCUCACCUCAAAGCGUUACCCCCACACUGGAGUGCCCUAAGAAAGACCCAAGGGAAGAGAAGGAACUCGGCAAACACUGGCCUCGCCUGUUUACCAAAAACAUAACCUCUUGAACGAUAUAAGAGGCACCGCCUGCCCUGUGAUGAAAAUUUAACGGCCGCGGUAUUUUGACCGUGCGAAGGUAGCGUAAUAACUUGUCUUUUAAAUGGAGACCUGUAUGAAUGGCAUAACGAGGGCUAGACUGUCUCCUCUCCCCAGUCAAUGAAAUUGAUCUCCCCGUGCAGAAGCGGGGAUAACCCCAUAAGACGAGAAGACCCUAUGGAGCUUUAGACGCCAGAAGAGACUACAUCAACAAGCCUGCCCUACACGCCAGACAAACUAAGUAGUUACCUCCUCAUGUGUCUUUGGUUGGGGCGACCAUGGGGACCAACGUAACCCCCACGAAGAAAGGACCAUACCAGCCCGAAGCUAGAGCCACGGCUCCAACUAACAGAACUUCUGACCAACGAGACCCGGCAUAUCGCCGAUCAACGGACCGAGUUACCCUAGGGAUAACAGCGCAAUCCUCUUCUAGAGCCCAUAUCGACAAGAGGGUUUACGACCUCGAUGUUGGAUCAGGACCCCCUAAUGGUGCAGCCGCUAUUUAGGGUUC
rnacentral:rRNA from 1 species